rnacentral:rRNA from 1 species
UGAGGAAUAUUGGUCAAUGGUCGGCAGACUGAACCAGCCAAGUCGCGUGAAGGAAGACGGCCCUAAGGGUUGUAAACUUCUUUUGUCGGAGAGUAAAGGUCUUCACGAGUGGAGAUUUGCAAGUAUCCGAAGAAAAAGCAUCGGCUAACUCCGUGCCAGCAGCCGCGGUAAUACGGAGGAUGCGAGCGUUAUCCGGAUUUAUUGGGUUUAAAGGGUGCGUAGGCGGCAUGACAAGUCAGCGGUGAAAUGCCCGGGCUUAACCCGGGAGCUGCCGUUGAAACUGUCGAGCUAGCGUGCACAAGAGGUAGGCGGAAUGCGUGGUGUAGCGGUGAAAUGCAUAGAUAUCACGCAGAACCCCGAUUGCGAAGGCAGCCUACUAGGGUGCAACGGACGCUGAAGCACGAAAGCGUGGGUAUCGAACAGG